UUAUUAAUGAUAUUAUUAAAUUAAAUUUUUUAAUGAUGAUAUAUUACUUUUUCUCGCUUUAUGCACAAAGUUAAAAUUGCAAUAAAUACAUUAUUAAAAUUAUUGAAACCGUGUGAAACGAGCUAAUUAUAUCAUAGUAAAUAAUAAUAAUUUAAUCAAUAAUUAAAAUAAAAGAAAAAGUCUAAAAAAAACAAACACACACAUGUUCUUUUGAAGAUAGACAUAUCGAGAGAUGCACAACCGAUAAUCAUUUCCUUGAACAAGUAUUGCGCAGUUUAAUCGAAAAGGUGGAACAAGCUGCUGGCCUCUGAGGCAAUCUUAUCGCAUAUAGAUGAGUGAUGUCUAAGCGAAUAUUAAGAAUCAGUAGGAAAUUCGUGAUCGAUCAUGCAACAUGCAGAGAUUAAUGAUUUGUCUAGGUAUUUUUACAUGCCUGUGUGUCAGCAUCUCAAUGUAAUGAACAAUGUAAAAGGUAGACUACUGCGUAGUCUUAUAAAUAGACAACAUCAACAACUUAUAUGGCCCAAUUACACCGAAAGCAGUCUUUGUUACAAAACAGUGUCGUAAGUAAUCAUUUUAAGAUAAGCGUAAUACUGACAUCGAUGUGUUAAUUUUUGAUAAAUGUAAAAAAAAAUAAUUCUUUCGGAAACAAAAAGUCCCAGACUGCAACAUUUAUAUAUUUAUAAAAAUCGAUAUAAAUUUCAAUAUAGCUUCUAUAAAAAACGACAAUUAUAAGAAUAGAUUUAUUCUUUUAUUCAUCCCAGCAUAAUGAUACUUUGAUUACCAUUCUGGAUUGUUGCGAUGGCUACAAACGCAAAAUGACAAAUAACAUUUGCAUAUACCGAUCUGCACGUACAUGUUCCCCAACACAAAUAAUCACGAAUCCUGCAAUCUUCAUUGUUCAAUCGGCAACGAAUGCGAAGGCGUAUGUGUCACGAUAAACAUUUGUAAAUGCAUUUUAAGCUGAUUAUCAAUAAUAAUAUAAAUGAAUGCGUUCCUAACAUAA